CGCUUUGCUGUUGUGCAGCCUCCAGCUCUGAACUGUCCAGGUGUUCCUCGAAGGAACCCCCACAGCGAGGAAGAGGAAUCUGACCAGCAGGAAACAAUGUACAGAAAGACUUCUACAGCGAGAAAGGAAUCGGAUUGGCAGUGUACUUCCAGCUUCAGUGGGAAAAAUGUUGUCCUUCAGGCAGUUGGCUCCACACCGACUGCAAAUUGACAGCAGUGACCUCGAUACUGCUGGAACGACCAUCUCAUUUACAAGUACUGCAAGUCAUAAGUGAGCUUCAACUGGGAAUGGCAAGCGUCUUUUUUGAAGAUUUUGAAGCAGCCCGCGACCCAAGUGAGGAUAAGCGGUAAAGAAAAUGAAUGGAUGGAAAAUUUUAAUUUGAAUGUGGACAGCAACACUGCCGUCUCGUGGAUGGAGGGAGGACCUUCCCACACGUUUGAUUUUUUUUUCAACUUGAAACUGUUACGUUUGUCUCAAAAAGAAAUGUGCGAGCCUGCUGAUCCACAAAUGCACCUCCAACAAUUCACAACCCAAAUUUAAUAUUUACAAAUGAUAAGUCCUGAUAAAUGUAAACACAACAUUAAAAAAAACACGUGUAAAUCACUAAUAUAUUUGUGGAUUUGAAAAACACACUUGUGAAUUGCGGCUAUACAACGCCAAUUCCAAUGAAAUUGAGACGUUGUGUUAAACAUAAAUAAUAACAGAAUACCGUAUUUUCACGACCCUAAGACACACCGUAUUAAAAGGCGCAGUCUCAGUUACGGGGUCGAGUUCUGUAUUUAACACAGAACUAAGGCGCACCGUAUUAUUGAGCGCAGGCAUGGUAAAACAUACGCUAGCUAAAAACAUACGGUAGCAUGCAUGCACGCUAAAACAAUGUUUAUAAAAAGGCAGCGGGAGCAAAACUGAGUUCAGUUGUACUUUAUUGAAGUAAUUCAUAAUGUACUCACGUUAUUUUUUGAUCAAUCCUCAUCCACAAAUCCAUCAAACUCUUCAUGUUCUGUAUCCGAAAUGAGCAGCUGGGCAAGUUCUCAAUCAAACACGCCAGGUUCGAGUCAGUCUCGUUGCCGUACGGCUCCUCAGAAAUGAUGCCGGCUUUUACCAAGCAGACACGUUAGCCCAAGCAUCCACAAUCCAUUCACAAAUUGUGGCGUAACUCGCCGGGCGCUGCCUCCUAGUCUUAGUAAAGCUGUGUUUGCCAUCUGUCAUCCAUGACUCCCACGCCACUCGCAACUUCAUUUUGAACGCCCUGUUGAGAACAAUGUCCAGCGGAGUUCCUUCGUCAAGCCUCCCGGAAUGAUGGCAAGCUCCGAGUUAUUGCACUCAGUCGAAUGGUGACUGUAGAGACGCUUCUCCCGGCUGUUCUUUGCUCAUUAAUCCAUUGCUCGAGUUGGUCUUCCAACUCGGGCCACCUCGCCUUGUUUUCACGUUUUGUUUUUCUUUUUUUUCCACGGAAACUCAGCUUCGUCUUCUUGACUUGGCGAAGCUCGUUUUCCUGCUUCCUCUACUUGCGAACCAUGAAUUUGUUGAUCUUGAAUUCUCUCGCGGUUGCUCGAUUCCCAUGUUCCUCCGCGUAGCUAAUAGCUUGCAGUUUAAACUGUGAUUUGUAAACGUGUCUCUUCGUCUCUAAGCCAAACCGAUGUUGUUUUGCACAAUGCACAUACCGGCACUAUAUACCUACAGGGGGCGUGCCUUUAGCGUCCUCAUUCACGCACACCCUUCCCCCUUUACACCCGCAUUCCGUCCUCAGCCACGUCCGCUUUUCCUCUGUAUAAGCAGUGUGUCAUGUGUGUGUGUGUUCCGGGUUUUGUCUUCCCCCCUGUUUCACACACACCUGCUCAGUGAGCAUCUUCACCACCUGUGCCUCGUUCAACCUAAUUACCCCUUGUAUUUAACCUCGUGUCUCAUUCCCUCUCGUUGCCAGUUCGUUGUACCUUGUCGUCGCGUUCCAGCAUUCCUUGUUUCCACGUCACAGACUCAGUAAGACUUGACCCUGUUCCGAUUAUCGACCUUGCCUCCUUGCCUCAUGUUUUUGGAUACUGUUGCCUUUCUUGGAUUGCCUUGGAUUGCCUGCCUGUGUACCGACCUAUGCCCUAAACCUCUCUUUUUGGAAACUGUCCAUUUGUUUUGGAGUCGUGCAUUUUUGGGUCCUAUCCUCUGUUCCGUUCAUGACACAGUGUGUCGGCAGGAAAUGCUCCCAGUCAGUCAAGCGGAGCGCUCAUCACAUAACAACAUUUAUAGAUUUUGGAACUCGGUGCACACAUAAGGCACGCUGCAUUAUAAGGCGCCCCGUCCAUUUUGGAGAAAAUUUAAGACUUUUAAGUGCGCCUUAUGGUCAUGAAAAUACGGUACAAUGAUUUGCAAAUCAUGUUCAACCUAUAUUUAAUUGAACACACUACAAAUACAAGAUAUUUCAUGUUCAAACUGAUCAACUUUAUUGUUUUGAGCAAAUAAUCAUUAACUUUGAAUUUUAUGGCUGCAACACAUUCCAAAAAAGCUUGGACAGGUGGCAAAAAAGACUGGGAAAGUUGAGGAAUGCUCAUCAAACACCUGUUUGGAACACCCCACAGGUGAACAGGCUAAUUGGGAACAGGUGGGUGCCGUGAUUGGGUAUAAAAGGAGCUUCCCUGAAUUGCUCAGUCAUUCACAAGCAAAGAUGGGGCGAAGUUCACCUCUUUGUGAACAAGUGCGUGAGAAAGUAGUCAAACAGUUUAAGGACAAUGUUCCUCGACGUACAAUUGCAAGGGAUUUAGGGAUUUCCCCAUCUACGGUCCAUAAUAUAAUCAAAAGGUUCAGAGAAUCUGGAGAAAUCACUGCAUGUAAGCGGCAAGGCCGAAAACCAACAUUGAAUGCCCGUGACCUUCGAUCCCUCAGGCGGCACUGCAUCAAAAACUGACAUCAAUGUGUAAAGGAUAUCACCACAUGGGCUCAGGAACACUUCAGAAAACCAAUGUCAGUAAAUACAGUUCGGCGCGACAUCCGUAAGUGCAACUUGAAACUCUACUACCUACAAAGCUUCAACAAUUAGUGUCCUCAGUUCCCAAACGUUUAUUGAAUGUUGUUAAAAGAAAAGGUGAUGUAACACAGUGGUAAACAUGACCCUGUCCCAGCUUUUUGGAACGUGUUGCAGCCAUAAAAUUCUAAGUUAAUGAUUAUUUAUUAAAAACAACAAAGUUUAUCAGUUUGAACAUUAAAUAUCUUGUCUUUGUAGUGUAUUCAAUUAAAUAUAGGUUGAACAUGAUUUGCAAAUCAUUGCAUUCUGUUUUUAUUUAUGUUUAACACAACGUCCCAACUUCAUUGGAAUUGGGGUUGUAUUUGUGGAUUUGAAAAACAAGUGCAAAUAAUUUUGAGACAUAUCUCUCCCCAUACGGAUCGCACCAAGCUGGGCAUUCUGGGGCAGCGACGGUGUGUCCUUGCAGAUGAAUCUUUUACUAGCAUUGUAUGUUCUUUUAGUAAUUUUAAUAAACUGUCAUUUAUUUCUGUACUUUGUUUUGAAAUGUCUUUGCUCUUUGUUUUUAAAUGUUUUUCAAUGCACAGUACUUUUAAUCAUGUAAAACACAUUGACUUACCUUGUGCAUGAAAUGCACCUUGCCUUACCUUUCACACCCCUAACGCUUUAACUCUUGCACACCUCCAUGUAACUUUUUUGAAAGAGGAGGGGAAACUAUGUUAUUAUUAUGUAUGAUUAUUGUUAUUAUUAUUCGUAUUAUUAUAAGUUUGUCCGUGUCUAUAUGUGCCCUGCGACUGACUGGCGACCAGUUCAGGCUGUGGUCCGCCUUUUACCCGAAGUCAGCUGGGAUAGUCUCCAGCGCCCCGCGAGCCUAACCAGGAUAAGCGGUGUUGAAAAUGGAUGGAUUGUUUAUUAUUAUUAUCAACCAGCCAUUACACGUUUAAUCUUUGCCUCACCCAUCAAAGCACUGGCGCACCCCCAAGCAUGUGUGCGCUGGGAAUCCAUGCUGUAGGUGGGAUAUGGGAUACCCACUGCCUCAAUCUACAAGUACUUUCCACUAAAACAGCAGCUCUGCCACCCCAUAUAAAAUUUUAAUAUAUCCUCGCACCUUCUCACACUUUCAAUCUUGCGCACCCGAUGAGGGCACUGAAAUGUUCAUUUUAUGAGGAAAAAGACACUACGCGAAAGAAAACCAACAUAAAUGAUACCAUUACACUUUUAAUCUUGGCUACACCCCCAAGAGUGUGCGUGGACCUCAGUUUGGGAAUGCCCACUGCCCCAUUCUAUAAGUAAUUUCCACUAGAACAGCAGAUCUGCCGCAGUAUAAAACUUUAACUAUGUCCUCGCACCUUACAGUAUCUCAUUUGAAACAUUGAACUAUAAACAAAAUUUUACAUUUCCACAAAGCGU